GGUGAAAUGGCUUAGCAGUUAAGAGCAUCUAUUCCUCUUGCAGAGGACCUGGGUUCAAUUCCCAGCACCU
rnacentral:tRNA from 1 species